AUAUCUGUCUUAUUGUUGUUCAGUUUACGCUGAUGGAAGUAUUUGCUUGGACAUCCUGCAAAAUCAAUGGAGUCCCAUAUAUGAUGUAGCUGCUAUACUGACUUCAAUCCAGUCUUUGCUCUGUGAUCCAAAUCCCAACUCGCCAGCUAAUUCAGAAGCAGCACGCAUGUUCAGUGAGAACAAGCGUGAAUACAACAGGAAGGUGCGCGAGAUUGUUGAACAGAGCUGGACAGCAGACUGACUUCUCCCGCACUCUCUUCUGUUACAGCAGAUUAUCCUGUCUCAUACUGAAAUUGUUCUCGUCUUGUCACUACAUUAAUAACUAAUGUAGUUGGACAUUUUCCUUUUUAUAUGUUCUUAGGGCCUCUCGAGUGUGUUAAAUCAUGUUAUGUUGCUCAACUGUUAAAUCAUGUUAUGUUGCUCAACUACGAAUGGUCUAUGUACAUAUGAUUUCUUGUAUUAUCCAACUGCAGUGAAAUUGUAUGAAGGUUGUUUCCAUGGUGGUUUAAAGAAUAUUGAUUCCUGUAAAUCAAUUUAACUC